rnacentral:rRNA from 1 species
AAACGCUUGAAGUCAGUCGCGUUGACUAGGGAUCAGCCUUACCUUGGUGAGGUGUACUUCCUUGUCGACGGGUCAGCAUCAGUUUUGGCUGCUGGAUAAAGGCUAAGGGAAUGUGGCACCUUCGGGUGUGUUAUAGCCCUUGGUCAGAUACAGUGACUGGGACUGAGGAACUCAGCACGCGCAAGUUGUGCUUAGGAUGCUGGCAAAAUGGCUUUAAUCGA